UACGUAGGGUCCGAGCGUUGUCCGGAGUUACUGGGGCGUAAAGCGCGCGCAGGCGGCGGUGCUGGCCCGGCGUGAAAGCCCCCCGGCUCAACCGGGGAGGGUCGUCGGGGACCGCACCGCUUGAGGGCGGUAGGGGCUGGUGGAAUGCCUGGUGUAGUGGUGAAAUGCGUAGAGAUCAGGCGGAACACCCGUGGCGAAGGCGGCCAGCUGGGCCGUCCCUGACGCUGAGGCGCGAAGGCGUGGGGAGCGAACGGG
rnacentral:rRNA from 1 species